AAACCAUCAUGUGUAAUUGUAAAUACUUUCAAUUACAAAGGGAAAUGCUUACACAAUAAUAUCAAUCCCAAAUGGCAUAAAAUUGUCUGUAUAGCAUACCUUCGAUAUUUAAGGAAAUAUGCAUAAAAAAGACUGAAAAAAGCCUGGGCCUGGCAGCUCACACCUGCAGCCCCAGCACUUUGGGAAGCCAGGACUCCACCUCGGAGGCAGGUGGAUUGCUUAAGUCCUGGAAUUUAAGACCAGCCUGGGCAACAUGACAAAACCCUGUCUCCCCAAAAAAAAAAAAAAAAAAAAAAAAAUUAGCUGGGCGCGAUGGCCCAUGC
rnacentral:lncRNA from 10 species